UGGGGAAUCUUGCACAAUGGGGGAAACCCUGAUGCAGCGACGCCGCGUGAACGAUGAAGCCCUUCGGGGUGUAAAGUUCUUUCGACAGGAACGAUAAUGACGGUACCUGAAGAAGAAGCUGCGGCUAACUACGUGCCAGCAGCCGCGGUAAUACGUAGGCAGCGAGCGUUGUUCGGAGUUACUGGGCGUAAAGAGUGCGUAGGCGGCGAGCCAAGUUUGGUGUGAAAUCUCCCGGCUUAACCGGGAGGGUGCGCCGAAAACUGGUUGGCUGGAGUAUGGGAGAGGAAAGCGGAAUUCCUGGUGUAGCGGUGAAAUGCGUAGAUAUCAGGAGGAACACCUGCGGUGUAGACAGCUUUCUGAACCAAAACUGACGCUGGGGCACGAAAGCGUGGGUAGCAAACA
rnacentral:rRNA from 1 species